UGGGGCGUCGUCAAGUGGUAAGACAACGGACUUUGACUCCGUUAUUCGUAGGUUCGAAUCCUUCCGCCCCAG
rnacentral:tRNA from 1 species